UCUUCAUUUCAUGUGCUCUCUCACCGUCAGAGUGACGAGAGAGUGUGUGAAAUGAAGAGA
rnacentral:pre_miRNA from 1 species